rnacentral:rRNA from 1 species
CCUACGGGAGGCAGCAGUGGGGAAUCUUGCACAAUGGGGGAAACCCUGAUGCUGCGACGCCGCGUGAGUGAAGAAGUAUUUCGGUAUGUAAAGCUCUAUCAGCAGGGAAGAAAAUGACGGUACCUGACUAACAAGCGCCGGCCAACGAGGAGCCAGCAGCCGCGGCAAUACGUAGGGGGCAAGCGUAAUCCGGAUUUACGGGGAGUAAAGGGAGCGUAGGCGGCUGGGUAAGCCAGAAGUGAAAGGCCGCGGCUCAACUGGCGGACUGCUUAUGGAACUAUCUCACUAGAUUGCAGGAGGGGGAAGUGGAAUUCGUGGUGUAGCAGUGAAAUGCGUAGAUAUUGGGAGGAACACUAGUGGCGAAGGCGGCUUACUGGACUGUAACUGACGCUGAGGCACGAAGGCGUGGGGAGCAAAAGGGAUUAGAUACCCCUGUAGUC